CUAGUGAGUCGGCUCUUUCUAUCAGGUGGCCAAAGGACUGGAGCUUCAGCUUCAACAACAGACCUUCCAAUGAAUAGUUGGGGGUGAUUUCCUUUAGGAUUGACUUGGUUGAUCUCCUUGUUGUCCAAGGGACUCUGGAGAGUUUUCUUUAGCACCACAAUUCGAAAGCAACAAUUCUUCGCCGCUCAGCCUUUAUGGUCCAACUAUCACAUUCUUACAUGACUACUGGAAAAACCAUAGCUUUGACUAGACGGACUUUUGUCAGUAAUGUCUCUGCUUUUUAGGGCUUUGGGGAGAACCUCAUUGGUUUCAGGGAACCAGGAAGAAGAGACAAUCACUGGCCAAGGGCUUAAGGAGGACAAGAGUGGUUUCUGCAGUGAUGUUUUUAAGUGCAAAGUGAAACAGUAAAAAAUCAGGCUGGCCUCCUCACCUCCACGCUGUUUGAUCAGUGCCAUCUAUGUGCCUGGCUUCACUCACAGCCUUCCCUUCUUCCUUGUACCUUCCGAAUCCUUCACAGCCAUGCGUCCAGGAAGCCCACCCUGAUGGCUCUAGUCCACACUGAUCCUGUGCCUUCAAGGUGUCUUCAGACAACCACACCGCGAGAUAGUCACUAUGCUUCUUGUUUUUUCCUACUAGGCUUUAUCCUCACCCCACUUGAAUGAGGACUGCCUGGGCUCCUGAUUCUCUGAAUCAGCAUCAUCACAUCAAUUGGGAACUUGCUCAUCCUUGGGGAGGGGCUAGCAA
ensembl:lncRNA